ensembl:lncRNA
GAGCAUGUGAUAGAGAUCAGCAGGUGUCAGGAGCUCUUUUACCGGAGCCUGAAGGAUUGUUAUAAGGGGACGGCUGAGGACUGAAGAAACACUACAGUGUGGCCCUGGAUCUCUAGCUGGAGUUUGUAGCCUGAGAAACACGAUACAAAAAAGAGACAAGCUACGCUAAGAUGAAGAACAUGACAGGAGGCCCAAGCCCCAAGUUCAGACAAGCAGACCUGCAGUCCUCAGCAGGCAAGUGACUAGGUCUGUGGACAUCGUAGCAACGUCACGAGUCACGUGGAACCUGCCGAAUCAGCCCGCACCCCGACAGCAAUCCACUGGACACCCCGCCCCCGGCUCCUCUGUACAACCACCUGGUUCCACACUACAAAGACACAGAGGACACCGGACCACCAGACCACUGUACUGGAAGAACCAGUGGAGAUUAUGGAGGUAUACGUGUAUGGAGCUGAAACUUUCUCUGUAAUCACUCUUUGACAUCACUGCCUAUUCCAGGCUUGAUGGAGAGAAAGCAAGAAAGAGUUCCUGAGAGAUGGUGAACAAGUGUUAAUCAAAGUGGGGAGAUCUUAUUAUAACCAUAAGGUGCUGUGAAGCCAUUGAUCUUAAUGAUGAAGUAGCUGUGAGAGUCACCGUUCUACAGAACAUCAAUGGACAUGAUGCAGCAGAGGAUUCUAAUGUUUUGAUCUUUGUUGAGCAUGCUCUGAGAACCCUAUGCCCCAGAAUCCAUACAAGUGUCUUAGACUUGAACCCAACUCACAAGGAGGAAUUGUGUCCAGCCAAGCUUCUGUCUGAAGUAGAACCUCCUGCUGGAGCCCAGCCUGGAUCAAGUAAACUACAGAGAACCUGCAGACCAUGGGCAUAGGACUGAAUGCUUGUUUUAAGUGACUGAAUGCUGGGGUGGUUUGCUAAAUGGUAUGAUUUUCACAACAGAUAACUAAUACACCACUCUGGGGUCCAGAACACGCUGUAUUUGCCUAAAUAAACCAUGUACCUUGUUCAUCAUUGCAUUUCCUGUUUCUACUGCACUGUCUGAUAUUUAGCAGGUGUUCAAAAAUAUGUGUUGAAGGGAUGAAAAAAUGGCUCCUGACCUGGGUAAUCUCACAGGCUAGUGUGUGAGACAGUUCUGGGAACAAAUAGUUACAUUGUAAAGUGAUAAAUGCAGCAAUAGAAGAGCUAUGAUAGCAUGGAGGUGGGAAGCCUUCAAAUGUUGUGUUAUCUACACCAAGGAAAAGUGUAAAGCACCAGUACUCAUGUUUGUACAUAAUAAGGACACUUAAGCUACCAUCAGAGGCUUCUUCGUAAGCUUAUUGGUACAAGAUUGGCUAUUUUGAAAGUCACUAAACAGACUUAAAAGUUCCUGCCAGUACUUAAUAAAUUCUGAUUUCAAAAAUUUUUCAGUGUAUAUAAUGAAUAAAAUGAGAUAUAUAGAAUCUGGAUUGUAUCCAAGAAAAAUGGCAAUGGGCUUAAGGAAUGAAAUUCCAGACAGUUGUAUACUAGCAUAUAUGUUUAAAUACCCUGAAAAGGCAAAUCAUUGCUUAAUGAAUAAAAAUGAGGAUUGGAAAAUCUGUGUAGUAAAUGAAGGUAGGGGGAAGUUCACAAUACAAGAUACAUCUACUUUUCAUUUUCUACUUUGCAUUAAAAAUAAAAGUCCUCCUCAAGUAACGAGUGACCAACUGGUCUGUUCUCUCUUUUUGAUCCAAACCUCUUUGCAGGAGGACUUCGAGGGCUGGCUGAUUCUUAAGUUGUUCAGGCUUAGAAAUGCAUUGUCACUCCUGUCUAGGUGUUGCAAAGCGAGAGAUAUGCAACAAGACUUGUUUAUGAGGUGAAAUAGCAAAAUAUUUCCAAGGGCUAAGCCUGUCUGUAUUCAUUUGGGAUGGUCGGUCGGCUUCUUAUUGGAACUGCUGAGCAGCCUUCCCUCUCAAUCUGUCACCUUCCUCUCUUUUUUCUAUCAUCCAAAAAGUGUAUUAAAAUUCCACUUCACUGGUAUCUCCUCUAGCACUCUGCUUAUCCUCAGGGAUCAAUACCUUUUUCCUGAUGUGUUAGCAAAGUUUGGGGCAGUGGAAGACUAAAUUGUGUUGUGGUCAUUAUGACUUUUAGGGAGGAAAGGAGAAUAGGAAAAAAACAAGAACCAAG